UACGAGGGGUCCUAGCGUUGUUCGGAAUUAUUGGGCGUAAAGCGGGUGUAGGUGGCCCUGUAAGUCAGAAGUGAAAUCCCCGAGCUCAACUUGGGAAGUGCUUUUGAAACUGCAGGGCUUGAAUGUGGGAGAGGAUCGUGGAAUUCCAGGUGUAGUGGUGAAAUACGUAGAUAUCUGGAGGAACACCGGUGGCGAAGGCGGCGAUCUGGCCCAACAUUGACACUGAGACCCGAAAGCGUGGGGAUCGAAACAGG
rnacentral:rRNA from 1 species